rnacentral:pre_miRNA from 1 species
UUUGUACUUCCCUCCGUCUGGAAAUACAUGUCAUAGAAAUGAAUGAAUCUUGACUUAUGACUUAUUUUAGUUAUAGAUAUAUCCAUUAUAUCCAUUUUUGGGACAAGUAUUUUCGGACGGAGGGAGUAUGAU